rnacentral:lncRNA from 11 species
AAGACAAGGGCAAGUAUUGGUGGAAAAAUGAUAGAUUUUGCUUUGUUCUAUUAAUAAGUUGAAGAUAAACCCUUGGUACAGGGCUAGGUAACUACACUGAGUGUGAGCAUUCAGUUUCUUUCUCCAUGACAUCCACAACUCGGGGGAGGGGGAACCUGUCCAAAUCUGGAAGUGCUAUGCAUACAUUCAGGCCACAUUCAUAAGAUGAGAGAUGAUGACAGAAAUUUGAACUGGAAUUCAAAUUUACAGCCAGGCUCAACAAUAUAUCCCUUUGGUAUCAGUUCUUUACUAUUGACUGGUAUUGAAAUCACAGCAUUGGAGUCCAACUUGAAAACUGCACAAUGAAAAAUAAGCAAACAAAGAGGAAAAGGUUAACUAUGUCAUACUUGGACAACUCAUCUGAAUACUUAUAUUCUAGUUGUCUGCCUUUGAUGGACUGCAUCUUCUCUUUCCCUGAUGGAUGUGCAAGAUCAUUAACAUUAUUUAAAGUUAUGGGAAUCAAAGAUAGCCAUUUACUCUUACCGGUGAACACCAAGGACACCCUUUAUGAUUCUCAGGAACUCUGCAGAAAACAUGAAUUUGUUUCCAGUCGGGCAUUUCUGUAACAAAAGAAAAGGAAAUCUGACUCUCUAGGCCACAGGGAUGAAGCACACACUCUCUGCAGCAACAACAAAAAGUAUACCGCCCAUUGAUUCUCAAUCAUUCCUAUUUUUAUAUUGAAGAAAAUAUCAAAUCCAGGGUCUUCGAACAAUGAGCAGGUGAGCAUUUAAGU